rnacentral:rRNA from 1 species
GUAGGGUGCAAGCGUUAUCCGGAAAUUAUUGGGCGUAAAAGGGCUCGUAGGCGGUUCGUCGCGUCCGGUGUGAAAGUCCAUCGCUUAACGGUGGAUCCGCGCCGGGUACGGGCGGGCUCGAGUGCGGUAGGGGAGACUGGAAUUCCCGGUGUAACGGUGAAAUGUGUAGAUAUCGGGAAGAACACCAAUGGCGAAGGCAGGUCUCUGGGCCGUCACUGACGCUGAGGAGCGAAAGCGUGGGGNGCAAACAGGAUUAGAUACCCUGGUAGUCCACGCCGAAAACGGUGGAUGCUGGAUGUGGGGACCAUUCCACGGNCUCCGUGUCGGNGCCAACGCGUUANNCNUCCCGCCUGGGGAGU